CGUGUAGGCGGCCUGAUAUGUCAGAUGUGAAAGCCCUGGGCUCAACCCAGGAAGUGCAUUUGAAACUGUCAGGCUUGAGUAGGGGAGAGGGAAGUGGAAUUCCUGGUGUAGAGGUGAAAUUCGUAGAUAUCAGGAGGAACACCGGUGGCGAAGGCGACUUCCUGGCCCUAUACUGACGCUGAGACGCGAGAGCGUGGGUAGCAAACA
rnacentral:rRNA from 1 species